AGAGAUGUAGACUUGAACUGUUACCAACUAUGUUUCUGUCUUUUUCAAGUUUUUAUAGACCAAAGUUAAGGCUGAAUUGAGAAGGCUCAGAAGACCCUGGCUAGAGUUUCAUCAAGUUUAAAAUGAUCGUCAACUCUGUAUACAUCAAAAUUGAGUUCGCGUGUCUCUGAGCAAGUUCCCCUGGCUCCACUAUCACACACUCAUCUGAGGGUAACUUUUCGUCACUAUUCAGCACUGAGG
rnacentral:lncRNA from 1 species